AUUCCAGCUCCAAUAGCGUAUAUUAACGUUGUUGCAGUUAAAAAGCUCGUAGUUGGAUUUGUGGUGUCGCGUGCGGCUCGGGAUAUUUUUCCGGUGCUGCGUGGCGGUGCCAUCCUUGGGUGGAAUUUGUGUGGCAUUAAGUUGUCGCGCAGGGGAUGCCCAUCGUUUACUGUGAAAAAAUUAGAGUGUUCAAAGCAGGCUUAUGCCGUUGAAUAUAUUAGCAUGGAAUAAUGAGAUAGGACCUUGGUACUAUUUUGUUGGUUUGCGCACCGAGGUAAUGAUUAAUAGGGACAGUUGGGGGUAUUCGUAUUCCAUUGUCAGAGGUGAAAUUCUUGGAUUUUUGGAAGACGAACUACUGCGAAAGCAUUUACCAAGGAUGUUUUC
rnacentral:rRNA from 1 species